CGCCUUGUUGCCUUAAAAGACAUCAGUUCGGUUAGUAAUAGAUACAGGAUGAGAAAAUGUGUAGUGAAAACGAGACAAUAAUACAAGUACUGACGCACUGUUAACUCGGAAAACCCCAAAGAUCUUGGUUGGUUGCUUGGUCUGUGAAAAACUUGGAGAACAAAGAGAAGCAACGUGAACAAAUGUGGUUAUAUCCCAUCAUAUAAACUUAUUUUUCCGAUUCGUUGGAUAACCUUUUUAUCCGCCUUCCAGUAUUAACAAAGGUAUAACAGUGCAUCUAUAUGUGUCCU
rnacentral:lncRNA from 1 species